AUAUGCUUUUUUUUUUUUUUUUUUUUUUUUUUUUUUUUUUUUUUUUUCGUAUAUAUAUAUAUUAAAAUUCAACCCAAAAAGGGCUUGGGCUGGGCCUUACAGAAUAAGAAAAUGGGUACAAAAAAUGACAUAAAUUUUCCGACGAUCUCCGGUGGUCGAGAUCUUAUCCCGGCGGUAGCCGGAAAGCAGAGAAGACCUAAUUAAACCGGCAAAUACAAGACCAAGAGAUUCGCGAUUCAAUCGACGAGAGCAAGAACAGAAACUGGAGUAUUUGAAUCCCGCCACUGACCCGAAACCAUCGACGAGCCAUGUCCCUCUCCAAAUCUUCCGGAAGAGGACCUCCUCCGACAAACGGAACCCAAGCUUUGAUUUCUCAACCUAGCAAACCAAAGAGCAGACAGAUCUAACCCUCAACCACCUGAAAAACGCCGACGAAAACCUUCUCCGAGACAGCAGUAGAUCCGGUCCGGUGAGAAUGCCGCGCGGAGGCUGACAAGAACAGAGGCUCAACCCAUCCUUCACCAACCCAGCACCACGAGCAGCCAACUCCGGUACUAAUUAACCGCUGUAGACACCAAGACAAACGACGCACCCGCCACCCCAUUAGCAACUUCCGCCGCAAGCCGAGACACUUCCACGCGCCGAUGAGCCGUGAGCAGCUUCAAGCAGAUCUUCCAGCGUCCUUGACCAGAAGAUCCACCGCCGAGGCUCCUCGAAACCGGCUGGAAACAUCACGACCGCAUCACCAACAGGAAGUCCGUCGACGACAUAAACGCUGGCUCACCCCCGCUUUCGAUAAUGUAAGUCUAACCCUGUAAUUAAGAUCAAGAAACCCAGAAAAAAAACUAGAUCUAGAAACUUUGGAUUCGUCUCCAAGAGAGAGAGAAGCGCUAAAACCAAUGCAACGAUUGUGCUUUUUAUUCCU
rnacentral:lncRNA from 1 species